CCUUUGUACACACCGCCCGUCGCUACUACCGAUUGAAUGGCUCAGUGAGGCCUUCGGACUGGCUCAAAGAGGUCGGCAACGACCACUCAGAGCCGGAAAGUUGGUCAAACUCGGUCAUUUAGAGG
rnacentral:rRNA from 1 species